rnacentral:rRNA from 1 species
UGGGGGAUAUUGCACAAUGGGGGAAACCCUGAUGCAGCAACGCCGCGUGAGUGAUGAAUGCCUUCGGGUAGUAAAACUCUGUCCUAGGGGAAGAAAACAAUGACGGUACCCUUGGAGGAAGCCCCGGCUAACUACGUGCCAGCAGCCGCGGUAAUACGUAGGGGGCGAGCGUUAUCCGGAAUUAUUGGGCGUAAAGAGUUCGUAGGCGGUUAUGUAAGCUAAAGGUUAAAGGCUAUGGCUCAACCAUAGUUAGCCCUUAGAACUGUGUAACUUGAGUGCAGGAGAGGAAAGUGGAAUUCCUAGUGUAGCGGUGAAAUGCGUAGAUAUUAGGAGGAACACCAGUGGCGAAGGCGACUUUCUGGACUGUAACUGACGCUGAGGAACGAAAGCGUGGGUAGCG